GCUGGGCAUGGCAGCGCAUGCCUGCAGUCCCAGCUACUUGGGAGGCUGAAGCAGGAGGAUCCCUUGAGCCCAGGAGGUCGAGGCUGCAGUGAGCUAUGAUCACUUCAUUGCACCCUAGCCUGGGUGACACAAUGAGACCCUGUAUCUU
ensembl:misc_RNA Metazoa_SRP Metazoan signal recognition particle RNA